GCACAGCAGAACUCAGCCAUUCCAGGCCUGGGGCCCUCACUGACCUGCAGCUGCCCCAAGGACGUGGCUUCUGAACAUGCCUGGAGUCAGCCAGCAGGGAGCCGCCCCGCAGAGGGUUUGGGGCAGGGCAGGCCCCACGCUGCGCAGACAAACCACAGCAAGGCAGGCGCGGCAGCCCGAGCCCUGCCCUCCCCCGCCCUCACGAAGGACGGAGGCCCUGGCUCCGACCCCAGGACUGCUGAGCCACUGGAAUGGAGCAAGCUCCACUCCAGCCCCAAGUGUGGACCCUGAUUCCUCCCCGCCGACACUCACUUAGAAGCUGUGCUUGGAUCCGGUCCUCCCAUACCAGCGGAGUCUUUAGGAACAGCCCUAUGUCCUCUCUGAGCCUCAGGUGCCUUCUCUGGGCACAGGAGGGGGCGCAGCCUUCCUCCUAAAGACAUGGACCUGUGAAGAUCCUAGCACCAGCCCUACACGGGGCUCCGUGACACGUCGGCACACACCAGCAGGUGCGUGCAUGGGCCAGGCACCCCCAACUCUACUCCCACACGCACACAGGACCCCAGCCUGCUCACAUUCACCAAGCGGUGUCUUUUUUUUCUUUUAACGAUGGGUGGCAAAGGCUUUACCGUCCCCUGGUAGGGUUGCCAGAUCAAAUACAAGAUGUGCUUCAGAUAAAUAGUGAAUAAUUUUUGGGAUAUACUUAUACAUGGGGCUUACAAUGAAAAGUUAUUCAUUGUUUAUCCAAAAUUCAAGUCUAUCUGGGCAUCCAGUAUUUUCAUUUGAUAAAUCUGGCAACUACCUGCUGGGUUGUAGAGGCUGUGAGCUGCCCUGGGGACGCUCCAGACGCUGCCCAGGAAGUGAACUCGGAGCCCCCAGGAUCGCAGGGCUCUGGACACUUGGCCAGGCUUGUGGGGGGAUGGUCAGUGCAGACAAUACUCAUCCAGCCAGCCUGUCUCCUGCAGGGCCCCCAGGGAGCCACAGGGAAGCUGGAG